rnacentral:lncRNA from 1 species
UUUCAUUCAUUAUGAGUUCACUUCUACUGAAGCAUCUCGAACAAUUGAUGAGUUCCGACCAUUGUUCAUCAAUGUAUCGACCUUUAAACCGAUUUUACGAUUCUCGUUAAGCCCUAAUUGGGCCAAAUUAUGUGUAUCGUCUAGAACUAAUAAGUUCAGCGACUGCUUAUUGAAACUAUGCAGGGCUAAAAUAGACCAAAUUAGGCCUAGAAUAGUUUCAGUUUCGUAUGAUUUACUAAUUCUUCACAGACAUGAUUGAGAUAAUGAGAAACAAAUACCAAUCGUGAUCGAGACGAUCAGGGACGUCAAUCAUCCACUCCGGAAGCAUAAGUUGACUGGCGAACCACCGCCGAGCUUCGGGGCCUUUGAGCUUAGCCGCUUGACGGAUGUCGAUAUCAGUGAUAUCUCCGGCAUCAGUCUCGGGUUCUUCAACUAUAGGCUNUCAGUCUCGGUUCUUCAACUAUAGGCUCGGGUACAAGUUCGACUGGUUCCAAAUGUUGAGGUUCGGAGUUGUGGUUUGGGAGUGAGAGGAUGGAGGAAGCGAGACGGCGGGCUUGCAGCUGAGCUUCAUUCCGGUUCUGAGCCUGCCUUUGCAAAGACAAUUCACGGCGU